rnacentral:lncRNA from 1 species
GGGAGAGCAAUGGAAAAUGGACUGCUUGACAUGGCAUUCCUUCUUGUCUAUUUGUCAAGGCAGUUUUUAAAAAUUCAGAAUGACUGCCAUAUACGACUUUCAAAUGAAGGACAUUUUCAUUUUGAUCAUUGUCAAUUAUUUAAUAGUCAUGUCUUUCGUAGAAGGAAACAAUAUACCAGUCGUAGCAGUCAGACUCUACAUGAAAUAAAAUGUGUUACCUGGAAGAACCCAGUCAUUCCCUUCUAUUGCUAAUCUUCAGAAUCAUCUGAGGACAGAUAAAAAUUACAGAUUUCUAAGAUCUGCUGAUCACAAUGGGUGUUUUUUAAAAAAAUCUCAUCAUACCUGGAUGAAUGUUGAAAUUUCCCUAAUCUCAUUUUAGUCUCAAUGUGCAGUAUUUAUUAUUUUUAUACAUUUUUUUUUUUUACUUAACUCUAUAUUCCUGAUAUUAGAUAAAUAUCAUUAGGUCUUGGGUAGGAUCCAGAAAUCUAAAAUUAAAACCAAAAAAUCUCCAGGUGAUUUUGUUGAUCAACCAUAUUUGGGAAUCACAAAUCUAUUGCCAUAAUUUCUUAUUUAAAGAAAUCGAGGCCUCAGAAGGUUAAAAGAGGUCUCUGGGUGUCACAAAGAUUUUUCUUGUUGAAACUGAGAGUAGAGACUCAGAUCUGCAAUUUCAGUGUCCUGGAGCUUUUGUCUACAGUUGUGCUGUGGUCAUUUCCUCUGAUGAAUAAAUCCUGUCCAUUUGACAACCAAGCUCGCUUUUACAUAAGCAUGCCUGGGACUAAAUUUGAGGAAAACCAUGGCAGUCUGCCCCCUGGAAGCAAUAUUUUUGAAAACAGAGAAAUUCAAAGUACUGCUGGAAAUCAAGCAUCAAAGAGAGUCAUUUAAGGGUGAGAUGAAUAUUAACUUCUUCCAGUCAUUUUAUAUGAAAGAAAUGGGCAAUAUCUUUUUGUCACAGUGUGCGAUUGAAAUCCUGUACUUCCAAAUAAAGAGUUCACUUUUUAAAGCUAAAAGUGCUUCUAUUAAACUAGAAUAUAUAUUUUUAAGUAACCCCUUGAUUAAUCCCAGAAUGUAAUAGCACCCUACCAUUUAAAAAACAAAAUCCAAAAAAUGUUGUCCCCACAACUCAACUCCAUAAUAUGCUAUGCAUAUCACUCUCAUUUCACAGAUAAGGACACAUAGAUAAGUGAGCAGUAGAUCCAAGGGUAAAAUUUACUUAUUGCUACACUUAAAUCCUUCUUUGUUCUUUAAAAAAAGUAGGAAAACUCAUAAUGUAUGUGUUUAUUCUGAAAAGUCUAAAGAAUGUACAUGCAAAAAAAAAAACAAAUCCACUUUAGGGGCCGGCCCCAGGGCCGAGUGGUGAAGUUCCUGUGCCCUGCUUCAGCAGCCCAGGGUUUUGCCAGUUCAGAUCCUGGGCACGGACAUGGCACUGCUCAUCAAGCCAUGCUGAGUCGGCGUCCCGCAUGCCACAACUAGUAGGACCCACAACUAAAAUAUACAACUAUGUACUGGGGGGAUUUGGGGAGAAAAAG